UGGGAACCUUCCCUAUGGUUCGGAAUAGCUCAGGGAAACUUGGGGUAAUACCGGAUAAGCCCUUCGGGGAAAGAUUUAUCGCCAUUGGAUGGGCCCGCGUCGGAUUAGCUAGUUGGUGAGGUAACGGCUCACCAAGGCGACGAUCCGUAGCUGGUCUGAGAGGAUGAUCAGCCACACUGGGACUGAGACACGGCCCAGACUCCUACGGGAGGCAG
rnacentral:rRNA from 1 species